rnacentral:rRNA from 1 species
UACGUAGGGUGCGAGCGUUAAUCGGAAUUACUGGGCGUAAAGCGUGCGCAGGCGGUUUGUUAAGACAGAUGUGAAAUCCCCGGGCUUAACCUGGGAACUGCAUUGGUGACUGCAUUGCUGGAGUAUGGCAGAGGGGGAUGGAAUUCCGCGUGUAGCAGUGAAAUGCGUAGAUAUGCGGAGGAACACCGAUGGCGAAGGCAAUCCCCUGGGCCUGCACUGACGCUCAUGCACGAAAGCGUGGGGAGCAAACAGG